GGCCCAAGUGAAUAGUCCUCGCGCGAGCGGGACACGGUAGUGGAUGCAAUUCCGCUCGCCUUCAACCGCCAGGAGCUCCCCCGCGCCGCAGGCACCGUCCUCCUCCGAAACAGCUGCGCCUGCACCUGGGCAGUCUGGACCCUCGUGCCGUGCCCCCCAGGCCUCGCGCGGGGGGCGCCCCCGGACACCCUCUGCGGGCCGGGUGGAGGAGGAAGAGGAAGAGGAGGAAGAAGACGUGAACCUGGACUCCUACCCUACCCAGGACACCUGGCCGCGCUGCUCACACUUCUCGUUACUGGGAGGAGAAAAGAGCCCAAAGAGCCAUGGGGGGCGGCGAAGUCCGGGAAUUUCUUUUGCAAUUUGGUUUCUUCUUACCUCUGCUGGUAGCUUGGUCUGGCGAAUGCAGUCACCUCUCCAACAACCAAGUUGUGUUGCUUGAUACAACAACUGUGCUGGGAGAGCUAGGAUGGAAAACAUAUCCAUUAAAUGGGUGGGAUGCCAUUACUGAAAUGGAUGAGCACAAUAGGCCCAUUCACACAUACCAGGUGUGUAAUGUGAUGGAACCUAACCAAAACAACUGGCUUCGUACAAACUGGAUAUCCCGUGAUGCAGCUCAGAAAAUUUAUGUGGAAAUGAAGUUCACACUGAGAGAUUGUAACAGCAUUCCAUGGGUCUUGGGAACUUGCAAAGAAACAUUUAACCUGUAUUAUAUGGAAUCAGAUGAGUCCCAUGGAAUUAAAUUUAAGACAAGCCAGUAUACAAAGAUAGACACAAUUGCUGCUGAUGAGAGUUUUACCCAAAUGGAUUUGGGUGAUCGCAUCCUCAAACUCAACACUGAAAUUCGUGAAGUGGGACCUAUAGAAAGGAAAGGAUUUUACCUGGCUUUUCAAGACAUUGGGGCAUGUAUUGCUCUGGUCUCAGUCCGUGUUUUCUACAAAAAGUGCCCUUUCACUGUUCGUAACUUGGCCAUGUUUCCGGAUACUAUUCCAAGGGUUGAUUCUUCCUCUUUGGUUGAAGUAAAGGGCUCUUGUGUGAAGAGUGCUGAAGAACGUGACACUCCUAAACUAUAUUGUGGAGCUGACGGAGAUUGGCUGGUUCCUCUGGGAAGGUGUAUCUGCAGUAUAGGAUAUGAAGAAAUUGAGGGUUCUUGCCAUGGUAAGAAAUAUUUAACUUUUCAUACAUUUAAAUAA